UCCUUUUUCCUUGAAGUUUAUAAAAAUAAAUGUUUAUUUUACUUUGCUCUUCAAAUAUAUUAUGCGCAUCUUAGAAUAGGUCAAGGGAUUCAUUAAAUGGAAUAUACUUAAGUCAAACAAAUUGCAACAUUAUUAAGUUUAUGCAUUGAAAGCCGGACAUCCCGACAGGGUACUUGGACGGUUGGACGGACAGCUGGACAAACGCAAUGGACGCAGUCGUGCGCUACAAGUUCGUGUAGCGGAUGUACACUGGAGAUUUAAGCCUUCUGCCGGCCAACCAGCGCACCUCAGCUGCUGACCUCGCUGGCCUGCAGCAUCCACCUAACCACCCAAUCC